rnacentral:rRNA from 1 species
AUUGAACGCUGGCGGCAGGCCUAACACAUGCAAGUCGAACGAGUGGCGGACGGGAGAGUAAUGUCUUGGAAACUGCCUGAUGGAGGGGGAUAACUACUGGAAACGGUAGCUAAUACCGCAUACCAUCAGAUGUGCCCAGAUGGGAUUAGCUAGUUGGUGGGGUAAAGGCUCACCAAGGCGACUAUCACUAGCUGGUCUGAGAGGAUGAACAGCCACACUGGAACGCAGCCACGGUCCAGCCUCCUACGGGAGGCAGCAGUGGGGAAUAUUGCACAAUGGGCGCAGGCUUGAUGCAGCCAUGCCGCGGGUAUGAAGAAGGCCUUCGGGUUGUAAAGUACUUUCAGCGGGGAGGCGUUACCCGCAGAAGAAGCACCGGCUAACUCCGUGCCAGCCGCCGCGGUAAUAC